AAUCUCUUUCCAUCGCCAUUUCUCCCCGCCGUACCCUCUUCUACCUCUCCCUGCCCCUCUUGGCCUCUGGUCAUCACCAUGCUCAUAGACAGUAAACAUGCAUGGAAGGAUAUUGGGACGAAUGAAAGAUUAAUUUGCAAGUGAAAAAAACUAAGGCUUAAAGAAGAGGAGUAACCUUGCCCUGAUCAUAUUAUUAGUAGGUGAUGAAGGCUAUUCUGAAUCUCAGCUGCCUCUGGGUGUUUGAUCAUAACAUAUGGCAGCCUGUAUCAGAGACUCAAGUUCUGCUGGUCCUGCCUCAUACGGAUUAUAAACAAAUGCCUCGAAUGUGUCUUACCCUCUAACUCCCUGUCUCUUGAAUGGGGAUAAUAAUACCUACCUCUCAAGUAAAUAGAUACUAUUUUUCUAUUAUGUGGUUUUUCCUUCCUGCAGAUGUUGUUGAGAAAAGCCCUAGAAUUCACUCUUGCCUGUGGCCAAGAUUUGGGGGUGGGGGCGGGGAGAAGAAGGGAGAAGGUACACAUAACGAGACCUGUUCAUCUUAAGUCUCAAGGGCAGGAGUUCCUACUCUUUUCUGUGAAAAUGGUUGCUUUGAGAAGUUCCAAUUGGAAAACUGUUGAAUAGUUUCUGCUUCCACAUCAUUGAGCUACAAUGACUGGCCACACUCCUGACUCUGAUGGUCUGUGAAUGAAAGAGAAAAAGUCAUAUCCAGCAGAAAACUCAAAACCGUAGGGUCCCAGCAUACCGUGCAUUCUGCUGUCAGAAUUGUAGAGAAAGGGGUUUCCAGAAGGAGGGUGUGCAUGCUUAUCCUCAGCUUAACAGAGGUGAAAUCCAGGUCCAAAGCUUUUUAACCUGUGUGUUCUUAGCCUUUUCCAUUCCUACCAGUGUCCACCCCAGGGAAAGUCACUGCUCUUUGGCUGUUCCAUAUUUUUCUGCCUCAAAGGAAACUUUAACUUUUUUAGUAAAAGUACAACCAUCCUGUAUGAUAUUGACACCAAGCCAGCUGUAGUGUGAAGCUGGGUCAAAAG